UUCAUGUCCCUGAGAAAGACCACGAUGACAGUGAUGUUGUCGCUGGAACCGGCAUCCCGGGCAGACGCCACCAAUUUGUGUGCUACCAUGCUGCUGUCACCAUUGUUCUCCUUGAGGUGGUCAGCCACCACCUUGACUGCCUCGUCGGGGUUCACGGUGUCAUAGAAGCCAUCACAGGCCAGAAUGAGGUAGUCUUCAGAGCCAUCCAGCACCGUGGAGGCAGAGUCUGCAUCCCCACAGAUAUAUGGCUUGUGCUCGGCGUCCCCUGAGGAAAAACAACACAUAGACACCACCGUGGGUUUGCAGCCACAGUAUCCAGAAGCCCUUUAUUAACUCAGCAUGGAGCCAAUGACUCUUAGCCCAAGUUAAAGCAAUUAUUUGGGAAUUAUUCCCUCAAACUGUAGGGGGAAAAAUAGAGGUCAUUGCUCACAGCUCGGUCUACAGCUGUAUUUCAAAUUGUGAUCACUAGAAAAUUAAAAUUUUAUGGUUAAAAAGCAAAUUGCUGAAAAAUUAAGAUGCUGUAAAGAAAAUCAAGGCUCCAAAGGGAACAAAAGCCCUCUCUUACCAAUAGCUCUGGAGACAGACAGGCUCCCGUUCACCCUCCAGGCUCCAAACCAGACCACGCAGCCGCCCAGGGCCUCGAUGCGCUUCUUCUCAUCCUAAACAGCAACACAGGAGUUGUUUGGACAGAGCUGCAUCACACACUGAACACUCCCAUAAAUAUUUGUUCUUUCACGUACACAUAGUGGAGGCUGCAGGCCCCCAGAGGUGAGACAAAGGAUUUGUACACAAAUCCAUAGUGACAUCCAAACAAACCGGGGUAACUGGAACAUACUCACAGAGACGCUGGCACGGCACUCACAGCAAGCUGGUACCUGUGGGGAGCACUGCCCAGGUGUGUUCUCACCUCUCUGUCUGGUUUGUGGGGUUUCAUCAGCUCCACAGCUUGGCCUCUCCUCACAAGCAUAACCUGGGAGUCCCCAAGCCAGGCCACGUGCAGCAUAUUCCCUCGGAUGAAAGUCACCACCCCGGUGGUUCCACAGCGCAGGCUCUGGACAGGGUGGAAAAAAAGAUGCAUUUCCAUUUCAAAGCAUUUUCUUGCUUAACUCGAGGACAGAACAUGUUGACAGUGCAGCACAGAGCCUAUUCCCAGGGAGGAACAGGCAGUGCUUUCCCUACAGCUACAACUGCUCAGUAACAGCUCCCCAGAGCCGACCUGGCUGAAUGUGAGUGACUGAAUUUGCCCCGUGACAUCCCUGGAAUGGGAACUGCCUGUCAGCAGCCAGGCUCUGCUGGUGUCUGCUGUGUGACUGCCCUGGCUGACUUCCUGUCAUUGACAGACACACAGGCAUGUCACUGAACUUGGAGGGAGGCUUAUUUAUGAGCAGCCCGAGUUCCCUGCACUUAACUCAUGCCUUGCAUGAGUUUAGGAGGCUUAUGACUCACUUAUCCAUUUAUUCUUGCUUUCUGGAGACAAAAAAAUGUAUCUUGUAGAGAUAAGGAAAAAAAAAACCCACUCCAAGGACUAAACCUGAGGAAAAAACCCCAUCCCAAGGACUAAACCUAGUUAGCAUGAGAGUGGCAGCAGCAUCCUUCUAAAGGAACUGGCUGCUGUGAGAAGUGGAAGGUGGCAUUCUUAUGGGACACAAAGGAGCCCAGCAGUGGGCACCAGCUCCAUGGACUGUGCAUGGGCAGCUCCAGUCUGACCUUGGCCUGUGCUGGGAGCUGACAAAGGCAGAAUUUAUAGAUUGAUGCUCUCAGGGUCAGGCCCAGGGCCCUCCCUCACCUCCCUGGCUGCCUUCUGGACGAAGCGCUCGUCGGUCACGCGGAAGGCUCGGCACAGAGCCUCGGCUGGGUCGUGCUGGAACAUCUCCUGAUGCACCAUGUUCACGUGGAGGUGGAUGGAGGCAUAAAUGGCAGCAUCCACUCCCCCAUGGCCGUCAAACACCGCGAAAUAGGCCUGUUCUUCUUGGUCCUGCCAAGGGAAACACAUGGAGGAAACACCUCAGGAGAAAGCAAUGCAAACAGCCAGUUGGACUGUCCUGAAGCUUUGAACUUGGGAUUUGUGGUGUCCUCAUUGAACUGGACUUAGAGGCAGAGUCUCCACUGGAAAAACAAACUGCCCUGACCAUCUUCACUUGCAUCAGUGGGAAACUUCCACCUUACUGUUGAAUACUACCUGCAAGAAUGCCCUGCCAGAAUCACCUCUGUGGGGCUCUCCACACUCCUUAUGUCCCAUUUGUUACCACUCAGUCACACAACUCAAAUAGGAAGUGCCAUUCUCAUCAAACUGUGCAGGAGAUUCUGUGACUGCGAAAACCACAGGGAGAGAAGAACAUCCACUACAGUUUGCAUGAAGUCUGCAUCAAGACUAGAAUCCACCAGGGAUAAAAUGCCAGUACAGUUAAAAUGUGAAGCCUCUGCUUUCAUUCUUUUUGUUUCUUAAAUCUAAAACAUAUCAUUUUAGAUGCCUGUCUUUGAAAAAAAAACAACCCUGUAUGUGCUCUCUCAUCAGAUAAUUGUGAUUACAUUCACAAAUCAAAUACAGCAAAAUCGCUCAUCUUCAAGUCAGUUUUCUCAGCUUCCUCUUAUCUGUUCAGAGAAACAAAGCGGUACCAAGAGACAGCAACUCCUGUGCCUGUUCACACACACACCACCAACCCACUGACAGUGCCAAUUCAACCUUGACAGCCAGCUCAAUGACUGGAAUAUUUGCACAUUGUAAUUUUUAGGUAAUGGGCUCCAACACAAAUUGGAAUAAGAAAGCUGACAAUUGACAGGCAAAGGAAACAUCUGCCUCUGUUUGCAUUAAUAUAAUUUAAAGUGUCCAGUUUUAUAUCUCAAGGAAGAGCAGGAGUGAGUGUUUGACCAAUGGCCACAUAAGGAAAUUAAUGGGGUGGAAUGACCCCAGUUCCACUAAACCUUCAUGUUGGUAGAUUCUCGUGGGAGCUGCACCCCAUUGUCCUAUGCUGCCAGAAGUGCUAAAUGGAACACACAGGCAAACAACAGCUUGAGAGAGCAAGUUCAGUCUGAGGUAGCUGAUAACUCGUGGGCAGCAAGAGCUGCACCACACCAACAAAUUCCUACAAAAGCUGAUGCAUCUCAAAAGGGGAAAAACACAAAAGCAAGUCCUUAAACUCAGUGAUGCUGAUGUUCUGGAUCUGUUGAUGCUGCAGACAUGGUACUGCCCCUGAGCAAAAUACCCAACAAGGGCCACCAGUGCUGAAAACAUGAACACUGUCGUGGUCUGGAGUCACUGAUGAGGCAUCAGCAACCCAAACAGAGCCAGGAAAAUGGCCCGAAACAUACUGGGGCUUUCAAAGGCCAAACCGGUCAGUAAAUCACAAAACAUACAGUGUUUCUGUUACCUCAAGAAUCCCCUGACACUACAGAACAGCAAUUGUUUCAGUUAGAAUGAAGCAUGAUUUAAAUAGAAAUGCUAUUCAAUCUGCUGAAGCACAAAAAUCCACGGGCAAACAGGAUAAAGCAGCGUGUUUGGUUUCACACAGCAGUCCAAGACCAAGAACAUGACCCAAAAAGAGCCAAGUACAGCACAUUCCCCAAAGCCCUAUAAUUUACUGUGCUAGUAAAAGACUUUGUAGGGAUGACAAGCUAACUACACCCUUUCCAAAAGACAUUACAGCAGGGAUACAGUUUAGGAAACACUCCUGUUCCUGUGGCCUGUUACAAGUUCUUGUUAGAAAGCAAGUUUUGCCAGGUUCAAUUUAAGUAAAACCUCAUUUGUCCCCAGCCUGUAUUUACAAAACACUCCCAAGUCUCAUGAGACUUCUUCCAGAUGGAGCUUCGGAUCCAGCCUGGAAGCUCUUUGAAGAAGCCUUUACAGCCUUUAUUAUUGAAAGGUCCCAUGCUGUGAACUGCAGCAGAGAAUUCUCUGGGACGGUCCUUUGGCUGUUUAUCCAGCCCUCCCUUCAUCCACCUCCUGUUUCCAUGGCCUUCCAGAAGGACAUGGAGCCAGCUGAGGGGCUUCUGUUUGUCUCCUAACUCCUCUAGGUCGCACAGGACUCAGAGAGGAAUGUUUUGUGAAGCAGUCCAAGACCCCAGAAUGAUUAUGGAUGUAUCCUCUCAUUCUGCCAAGCAGAUGCUAUUUCCAGCUCCUGUCUCGGCAGGAUCUCCUCUCCUCACUCAGAGCGUGGCUCUGACCCGUUGCUGUUCUGCUGCUCUGCACAGCUGGGGAAAGUUGUGAUGCUUAUUUAAAGCCUGGUCACGGUGGACAAAUAGAGUGUAGGGUUUUUUUCCUAACACAUGGUGAAACCCUGCACUGGAUUUUAGCUGCUGCAGCGAGUUACUAAAAAAAACCCCAGCGCGCACACACAGAAAAAGAAACAAAUAGAAAAAACAAUGCACCUUCUAAAAGCUUGCAUAACCAAAGCUCCUUGAGAAGUCAUUUGAGCUGGCAGUGUUGAGACAGUAAAGAUGCUUGAUAAAUCUGUUUGAAGGAGCUGAAAACGUGCCACCCAAGGAAGCUGCUAUCUAUAGGCUUCCCAGAGACAGCUGCCUGGUCACAUUCAAAACCAUUCUGUCCUUGUGCUGACAGUUGUAAGCAACAGAAAUAUAAUACACAACCAUUAAAAAAUACACUCUUUCUGAUGUGUUUACCAUGCUCAUGUCUAUACAGACAGUGUUUAUCAAAUAUUUAACCUUUUCACUGACAUA